GCUGGUAGCAGCAGAGGCAGUGGUAGCAGAGAAGGCAGCAGAAGACCCCGCACUGGGACAGUGCAACUUUUCUGGAAAAAGAAUUAAAAACAAAUACAGCAUCAUCCUGAAAUUCCAAAGUUCCCAGUGUAAUGCAUAAGGAACCUCAAAGCAUCCUUCUGAAUGGAUUAAGAUUCAUCGAUCCUACCCACAUAAACCAAGAUUCACAGAUCUUGUGUCCUAUCUUAACUGAUAGCUAUCUCCCAGAUUUGGAAGGUGAAAUGUUCUUUACUUCU